UACGUAGGGGGCAAGCGUUGUCCGGAUUUAUUGGGCGUAAAGAGCGUGUAGGCGGCUUUACAGGUCCGUUGUGAAAACUCGAGGCUCAACCUCGAGACGCCGGUGGAAACCGUAAAGCUAGAGUCCGGAAGAGGAGAGUGGAAUUCCUGGUGUAGCGGUGAAAUGCGCAGAUAUCAGGAAGAACACCCGUGGCGGAAGGCGGCUCUCUGGGACGGUACUGACGCUGAGACGCGAAAGCGUGGGGAGCGAACAGG
rnacentral:rRNA from 1 species